rnacentral:rRNA from 1 species
AUUGAACGCUGGCGGCAGGCUUAACACAUGCAAGUCGAGCGAGCGGCGGACGGGUGAGUAAUGUCUGGGAAACUGCCUGAUGGAGGGGGAUAACUACUGGAAACGGGAGCUAAUACCGCAUACCAUCAGAUGUGCCCAGAUGGGAUUAGCUAGUCGGUGGGGUAAUGGCUAACCUAGGCGACGAUCCCUAGCUGGUCUGAGAGGAUGACCAGCCACACUGGAACUGAGACACGGUCCAGACUCCUACGGGAGGCCGCAGUGGGGAAUAUUGCACAAUGGGCGCAAGCCUGAUACAGCCAUGCCGCGUGUGUGAAGAAGGCCUUCGGGUUGUAAAGCACUUUCAGCGAGGAGGCGUUACUCGCAGAAGAAGCACCGGCUAACUCCGUGCCAGCAGCCGCGGUAAUAC